CUUUACUGUAGCUUUACAUUGGACUUUGAACAGAUCUGUGUAGGAUAGGUGGGAGGCUUUGAAGCCAGGACGCUAGUUCUGGUGGAGCCAACGUUGAAAUACCACCCUGGUGUGUUUGAGGUUCUAACCUUGGCCCGUUAUCCGGGUUGGGGACAGUGUAUGGUGGGCAGUUUGACUGGGGCGGUCUCCUCCCAAAGUGUAACGGAGGAGUUCGAAGGUACGCUAGAUACGGUCGGAAAUCGUGUUGAUAGUGCAUUGGCAUAAGCGUGCUUGACUGCGAGACUGACAAGUCGAGCAGGUACGAAAGUAGGACAAAGUGAUCCGGUGGUUCUGUAUGGAAGGGCCAUCGCUCAACGGAUAAAAGGUA
rnacentral:rRNA from 1 species